UUGGUGAGGUAACGGCCCACCAAGGCGACGACGGGUAGCCGGCCUGAGAGGGCGACCGGCCACACUGGGACUGAGACACGGCCCAGACUCCUACGGGAGGCAGCAGUGGGGAAUAUUGCGCAAUGGGCGAAAGCCUGACGCAGCGACGCCGCGUGAGGGAUGAAGGCCUUCGGGUUGUAAACCUCUUUCAGCAGGGAAGAAGCGAAAGUGACGGUACCUGCAGAAGAAGCACCGGCUAACUACGUGCCAGCAGCCGCGGUAAUACGUAGGGUGCAAGCGUUGUCCGGAAUUAUUGGGCGUAAAGAGCUCGUAGGCGGUCUGACGCGUCGGAUGUGAAAACCCAGGGCUCAACCCUGGGCCUGCAUUCGAUACGGGCAGACUAGAGUUCGGUAGGGGAGACUGGAAUUCCUGGUGUAGCGGUGAAAUGCGCAGAUAUCAGGAGGAACACCGGUGGCGAAGGCGGGUCUCUGGGCCGUAACUGACGCUGAGGAGCGAAAGCGUGGGGAGCGAACAGGAUUAGAUACCCUGGUAGUCCACGCCGUAAACGUUGGGCGCUAGGUGUGGGGACCUAUCCACGGUCUCCGUGCCGCAGCUAACGCAUUAAGCGCCCCGCCUGGGGAGUACGG
rnacentral:rRNA from 1 species